GACUGGACAGGUCAGGGCACGGCAUGAUGGCGAGCGAGUAGGGAAAGAUAAGUUUCUCCUCGUGGAGGUAUUCACAUUAUUUUCAACUGGAGAGCAGAGGGAAAAACAACAUUUCGGUAACUUGUAGACUGUGUCCCGGUUCAAAAAUACUUUCUACGGCGAACAACAGCAACAGCAAUCUGCUGAAGCACCUGGAGAAGCGGCAUGCUUCGACAAAGUUAGCAGCUAAGGUAGCUAACGCAGCAUCCGAGACCUAGAGUCACAGCAGCGAGCACACACCCACUCCACCCACGCAGCAGCGGUUGGAGUUCGAAAGACAGACCCAUAGCCAAGCACAACUUGAUAAAUCAAUAGCACGAACUGGAGAUGCUGCUCAGUGGAAGCAAACAGACAGACACAUGUGAACAUGGGCCUGUGAUCAAUGGACUUUUGAAGGACAUUUCGUGCCCAGGGCGAUGAAUGACCCCAAAGAGGCUCUGCACUAGCACGAACAGAUCAAUGGUCAAUUCACAUCCGUUGAAUCUGAACAGGAGUGCUGGCUCGUUCCUGUGGAGACGGCACACAGUUGGACAGGAAGCCAGGAAUAUUAUUACACACUGCAGACCACGAGUGACAACGGUUGACGUGCUCCUCAUCCCCCUGCAUCUUCAUCUCCUUCACUUUGCGCUCCAGCUUGCGGUUUGCCUGCUGUAGGCUGUUGUUCUCCCUGACGAGGAGGAAAAAGCACCAAGAGAUCACAUCACUGCUGCAGCGUCCUGUAAUUCAACACCUAGCAAUAGUAUUUGGACCAGACAUCCUCUCACUCUGACCACAGGGAAAGUGAUAGGAGCAACUAGUGUCUGAUGGAUCUAUUAUCCAAAGUGUCUUCUAGUGUUCCAACUAGUAAACACAGACUCAAAUAUAUAUAUAUCUGUCAAUAUUUGAACACUGACUGCUCUUCUCCUUGCAGCUUCUCCUCCAGUUCCUGGAUGCGGCUGUUCAGUUUGGAGACUAGUGAAUCCUGGUUGGUCCUCUGCGAUCCUUCCAAAUGAGUCACUCUGCUCUUCAGGUCUUUAUUCUGACAGAUCAAAAUGAAGGAUGUUGUAAAUAAGACACACUGAGGAUCUUUAUGACUGCAUCGGAUGAAGAAAGUGAGAGGAGUUUAUCGUCAUGUUUUCAGGCAGUUACAAAACGGUCUGCACUGCCGCGCUCAUCAUUGAGAUCUUCUGCAAGGCGACUGAUUCGUCCCUGAGAAGAGAGGAGAACACAAACAACACGACUUGGGUGUGGGUGGAACACUGUCUCCAGCUUAUAGGAAAAGAAAAGAAAUGAAGCAUUAAAACAUUUCUGUGCAGAUGUGAGUGUUUGACCCUUGAAGAGGCUGAAUGACAGACAGGAGAUCCCUGAGAACAAACACCCAGACAGGUCUGAUAACUUUACACAGUAAACAUGGGCUUCAUCGGCUGAUACGCAAUGUCAACAGUGAGCACACCAGAGUCACAGUGCAAUGUUUUGUCAUCAGCAAGACAAACAGUGCUGAGCUGUGAGAUGUUGUUGCCAGGGCUCAUUACAGUGCCCUUACACUUCACAGGAACAAGUGAGUGCAAAUACUGGCACCUGAACAGAUAAACACUUCACACUGAUAAAGCAUAUUUGACUCUGUGAACAGCACAGAGAACCGUAUAUUAAUGGUAUUUACAUGCAAAUAACUCCAGUAUAUGUUGUGGUUUAAUUAACACACAA